UACGGAGGGUGCGAGCGUUAAUCGGAAUUACUGGGCGUAAAGCGCGCGUAGGCGGUUUGUUAAGUCAGCUGUGAAAGCCCCGGGCUCAACCUGGGAACUGCAGUUGAUACUGACCGACUAGAGUACGAGAGAGGGAGGUAGAAUUCCAUGUGUAGCGGUGAAAUGCGUAGAUAUAUGGAGGAAUACCAGUGGCGAAGGCGGCCUCCUGGCUCGAUACUGACGCUGAGGUGCGAAAGCGUGGGGAGCAAACAGG
rnacentral:rRNA from 1 species